rnacentral:rRNA from 1 species
AUUGAACGCUGGCGGCAGGCCUAACACAUGCAAGUCGAACGGUAACAGGAAGCAGCUUGCUGCUUUGCUGACGAGUGGCGGACGGGUGAGUAAUGUCUGGGAAACUGCCUGAUGGAGGGGGAUAACUACUGGAAACGGUAGCUAAUACCGCAUAACGUCGCAAGACCAAAGAGGGGGACCUUCGGGCCUCUUGCCAUCGGAUUUGCCCAGAUGGGAUUCGCUAGUAGGUGGGGUAACGGCUCACCUAGGCGACGAUCCCUAGCUGGUCUGAGAGGAUGACCAGCCACACUGGAACUGAGACACGGCCCAGACUCCUACGGGAGGCAGCAGUGGGGAAUAUUGCGCAAUGGGCGCAAGCCUGAUGCAGCCAUGCCGCGUGUAUGAAGAAGGCCUUCGGGUUGUAAAAUGCUUUCAGCGGGGAGGAAGGGAGUAAAGUUAAUCCCUUUGCUCAUUGACGUUACCCGCAGAAGAAGCCCCGGCUAACUCCGUG